GUGAUUCCAUUGGCUGAAAAAACUCCUCAUGGGUAGUUUUCUUAGCGCCUUAUUACAAUUCCUACAAAAUCGCGUUAUGAUUUAUGUAGUUAGAACGUUGUUAAAAUUACAAUUGAUGUCUUUUAAAUGAUAUGUUUCAUAUAGUAGUAUAUAAAUGAGGCUAUAGGUGGGAGAUCUACACAUUGCUUGUGUCAUUUUAUUAUUUAGAUAUUAUAAUAUCCACUUUUUACUGUCUACUUAUACAAUUACUUACUCAUUAAUUACUUAUACAAAACAUGAUUACUACAUAGUUGAAUCACACAUCUAAAUUAUAAUUAUAAGCCAUGAUAACUACACUUUUACUAUGAAAAAAUAUAUUCCGUAAGGUAUGUUAAUAAUUUACAAAAAAUAAAAGUAUUGUUUUUGUACAUGGUUUUUGUAAAGCAGAUGAUGACACAAAAGUACUGACGUGUCUGCAAAAUGAAUAUUAGUUUAUUAUAUUAUUUUUUGGUUAACUGUUAUUUUUAAAAAAAAAAUAUGCUUCUAUUUUGUACAACAUAAUUAUCUUGCUAGACCGCGUACACAGACGAGAUAUCGCAAUGACAAAUUUUUGAGCAGGCAUUAGUGCUAGGUACCAAUCGGGGUCCUAGGGGAGACCGAAUUGCUCGGGGGGACCGAAUUGCUCAUGACACCGAGUCUGAACUUGCAAGUUCGAACCAUAGAUAUCAUAUAGAAGACUAGAUGCCCUAUUGGCCGCUGGGGACUGAGAAAUACGGCGGCCAUCUUAAACCGGUCGUUCUCCUAGUUUCGUUGCAUGGCAGCAGAUAAGAUGUCAGAGCACUGUGGAGCAUUUUCCUGUUCUAAUCGGCGGACGAUCGCAAAUAGAGCCCGGAUGAUUAUUUUCACAAGUACUUUUUAACAUCGCGGUACUAUUGGUUGUAUUUUGUGAAUAGAAUAUUACCAGAAAAUUGAGAAAGAGCCAGCUUAUUGAUUUUACUGUACUGAAAUCGUAGCCAGCUAACGUUCGCUAGGCUAUGUUUACUGCACCAGCCGCUGUUCACCCUGCAAGGAGAGUGGGGUGCUGUGAGCUGCGUGAUCCGCCGAGCUUUAAAAAGCUGAGAUGUCAACAGGAACAGAGGAUGUUUUCCUUCGUAGGGAGGACAUUGAGGAGACUCGGUUUGGAAUCGACAACUGACUCGUUGUCACUGGUUGUGUCUGUGUUUUUAAAGAUAAGGCUCCACCAUGUUGCCAAGCUCACCUCUCUUGAACUACAGAAAGGGAGCACGGGAAAGAAGCUCUGGAAAACAGUCCUCUUUCAGGGGUGUGUGUGUGUGCGUGCGUGCGUGCGCGCGCGUGUGUGUGGGGGGGUUUACAAAUCAUUUUAAAUUGUUUCUUCACCAUAUUAAAAAGUCUUAUUUUAUUGCAACUAUCUGUUUCUGCAUCUUUGUCAUAUUUAUAGUGUGUGAUUUAUAAAAUAUCUUAUGUCCUACACCA